rnacentral:piRNA from 1 species
UCAUUGAUCUUGGUGUCCUCAAAUUGAAAGC